GUCAACAACCCAACGACUCAAGUCGUGGGCUUGAAUGCCCCGUGUUGACCAGACCAAGGUUGGAAACAGAACGCGCGUUUAGAUGUCAUGACACAUAUUCGUCUCAUUCAACGAUUGGAUGGAUACACGUAUCGAAAGGAGGGAAUAAAACUUGCGUAAAGCGUAAUUUCUCUCUAGUCUUUAGA
rnacentral:sRNA from 1 species